AUGGUAUCAUGAUUAGUGAAAAAAUAAAUGAAAAUAAACUCAACGUCAAAUUCUUAUGUAAAUGAAAAUGAUAUAUACCAGAAAAGGAAAAGGUAGAUAUAAUUAGAUUGAAUUGUACUCAUAAGUUAUAUGAAGCUUAUCUGGUAAAGCUGCUGAAUGAAACCUGAAAAGAACAAUGGUUGGUAAAUCAACUGCAAAUCAUACGAACAGAAUAUUUGUCCGAACCAACAUGCGAAGCAAGGAAUACUACCCGCUCAAUGGUUCACGCUUGACAGCCACGAGGAAGGUCCAGCCGAGGUCGUUGCUGCCAGGAACCUCCGCUAGCUCCCACAUCCAUCGCCGGCCU
rnacentral:lncRNA from 1 species